GAGUGGCGAACGGGUGAGUAACACGUGGGUAACCUGCCCAUCAGAAGGGGAUAACACUUGGAAACAGGUGCUAAUACCGUAUAACACUAUUUUCCGCAUGGAAGAAAGUUGAAAGGCGCUUUUGCGUCACUGAUGGAUGGACCCGCGGUGCAUUAGCUAGUUGGUGAGGUAACGGCUCACCAAGGCCACGAUGCAUAGCCGACCUGAGAGGGUGAUCGGCCACACUGGGACUGAGACACGGCCCAGACUCCUACGGGAGGCAGCAGUAGGGAAUCUUCGGCAAUGGACGAAAGUCUGACCGAGCAACGCCGCGUGAGUGAAGAAGGUUUUCGGAUCGUAAAACUCUGUUGUUAGAGAAGAACAAGGAUGAGAGUAGAACGUUCAUCCCUUGACGGUAUCUAACCAGAAAGCCACGGCUAACUACGUGCCAGCAGCCGCGGUAAUACGUAGGUGGCAAGCGUUGUCCGGAUUUAUUGGGCGUAGAGCGAGCGCAGGCGGUUUCUUAAGUCUGAUGUGAAAGCCCCCGGCUCAACCGGGGAGGGUCAUUGGAAACUGGGAGACUUGAGUGCAGAAGAGGAGAGUGGAAUUCCAUGUGUAGCGGUGAAAUGCGUAGAUAUAUGGAGGAACACCAGUGGCGAAGGCGGCUCUCUGGUCUGUAACUGACGCUGAGGCUCGAAAGCGUGGGGAGCGAACAGGAUUAGAUACCCUGGUAGUCCACGCCGUAAACGAUGAGUGCUAAGUGUUGGAGGGUUUCCGCCCUUCAGU
rnacentral:rRNA from 1 species